AUCCAGGGCUCAGCUGAGACUGGGGGCCUCACCACAGCCCCACUCAGAUGCCUGGUGGUUGGAUGGGCUGCCAGCUGAGGCACCUCCGUUCUCCAACUCAUGGCCUUUCCAGCAGGACAGCCUGGACUUCUCCAUAUGAGAAUUGGGUGUCAAGAAGGAAAGACCACAUGAAGAUGCAGCUAGAAGGUACCAGCUGCAACCCCAGGAGGGAGCCUCACCAGAACCUGAUCCUGCUGGCACUCAGCCUCCAAACAGUGAGAAAUAGAUGUGGCAAAGGGAACCUCCAAGGAGGAACCCCUCUGGAGCAGAGUCUCAAAGCAGAGGGAUUGAGGAGAUACCGAGGGGAGCAUGCAACACCUGGUACGCGAGUCAAGAGGAGACAUGUUGAGAUGCAGCUAGGUCUCCUGGCAGAGGAGCGACUUGGUUCUGGUCUGGAUCCUCUGAGGGCAUAAAGCUGUACCUCAGCAAGUCUGCAGAUGAACAGUGAUAAAGACAAAUCAUUAGAAUGCAGAGCGCCUGCCCAGAGUAAAUUAUUGUUGGAUAAAAGCUCAGAAACAACUUGACAAAAUUUGUGACAGUGUGAGUGUUCUUGUUAGUUGAUCAAACUCAGCCAGGUCUUCAAGGAUAUGGUGUACCUGCAAAAUCAUACUGAGAGGCACUCAGAAAGAAGCUAAUCUGCCUAGAAAAGGCUAAGGGAUAGUUUAAGCUUACCUAACCUAAAAGGCUUGGUGAAGUUUAAUUCACACUGGGAAUGUAAGAGAAGUAAGUGUCUUAAGGCGACCAUCCAACAUAGCUGGACCUCCUGAUUCUCUUCAACCCUCUUGCAUGCCUUUCUGCCAAAUAAAACAUUUCAUGG
rnacentral:lncRNA from 1 species